GAGCACUCAAUCAGAAGUGGGGAUGAGCACCCGCCGAAACACAUUAACCACUGUCGGUCAAUAUGUGUUUAUUGUAAGUGAGCUCCUUUUAUGAUCAAAGAAAUGUAGAGAGGAUUGGAUUUCUAAUUCAUUAAUUAGACCACACUGGUUAACUUUAGUAAGGUGCAAAUUUGCACAUCUGUGUGUCGUAAAACUAUCAAAAACGUGCACUCUUCAGUAAAUAU
ensembl:ncRNA F46F3.11 ncRNA